rnacentral:lncRNA from 1 species
UUGUCUUUGAAGGCCGUCAGAUGAAACUCUUGGUUUAAUACAUCCCUUGUCAAAAGCAACAAUAUAUCAAGGAAAUCAUGCAACUGUGGGAUUGUCUUUGAAGGCCGUCAGAUGAAACUCUUGGUUUAAUACAUCUCUUGUCAAAAGCAACAAUAUAUCAAGGAAAUCAUGCAACUGUGGAACAGUUUGCAAGAACCAGCGUUGUCUGAAGAUACAUAUGGGAAAGAUGAAAUGCAAGCCAUUUCAGAGCAUAACACAACCCACAGGGCAGCCUGGUGAGACGGAGGAGGAGGUGGUUUAGGAUACAAACCACAGCGACAACAGCGUCCAUGUGUUAUACAAUGAGGAUGAUAGCAUAGUAGAGAGGAAUCGACAGGAACAGGAGGGUUUAGACAAUAACCAGCCAUAAGCGCCAAAAAGAACAUCAGACACAAGCAACAUAAGGAGAAAGAGAUUAAAAUGGCCAAACAAUAAAAGUAAAAGGGAAUUGUAACAGUUUGAAGAAGGGAACGGGAAGAAAGGGUCAGUACAGUUGAAAGCUAGUAAAGAGGAAGUAGAGAAAUGCACAGUACAUGUUUCAAAAAGGGAAGAAGACCUACCGGAGAUAGAACAACUAAUACGCCGGGAAGAUCCAGAGCAGGCUUUUGAUGAAUCACCACCAAAGUUGAGGGAGGAAGUAGAUGUUAUCAAGGAGGAAGGAAGAGCAGCAUCAGCACCAGGUCCAAAUGGAGUACCAUAUAAAGUAUACAAGAACUGUUAGAGAAUUACAAGACGUUUAUGGAAACUGAUUAGGAUCAUAUGGAGAAGAGGUCGACUUGCAGAGAGUUGGCACAAGGCAGACGGGUGCUUUAUACCAAAGGAGAGAGACAUUGAAACAGUUUAGAACAAUCUCACUGUUAAAUGUGGAUUGAAAGAUAUUUCUUGCUAAUCUUGCCAAAAGGAUGACAAACUAUAUGCUGAACAACAACAACAUUGACAUUGCAGUACAAAAAGGGGGGAGACCAGGUGUAUCAAGCUGUAUUGAAC